CUCAGGAGGGACCUUCUGGCCCUCCAAAAUUCCCUGACAGGAGGGUGCAGCCAGGUGGAGAAACCCCUGUUAAGUCUGGACCUCAUGAGUUCUGCUUGAAGCCACAGGUGGGCACGGUGGCCUUGGGGGUCCCCUGCAGCUCUGAGUCCAUGGGAAAAAACAACCCAGCUCUCCUUGACUUCCAAGAGAGGGAGAAGAGGUGCUGAGUGCUCUGUGCUGGCCACUCUGGGGCAUACAAAUAACUGCUCUGGAGCUUGACACAGCGGGUGACCGGGAGUAACUGGCUGUGGACUGGACCCAGAGGCUUUUCCCAGGCAGGGCAAGCAGCCCUGCAAGCCCCC